rnacentral:rRNA from 1 species
AGAGUUUGAUCCUGGCUCAGGAUGAACGCUGGCGGCGUGCCUAACACAUGCAAGUCGAGCGAAGCAUAGGUGCUUGCACUUAUGACUUAGCGGCGGACGGGUGAGUAACGCGUGGGUAACCUGCCCUGUACAGGGGAAUAACAGUUAGAAAUGACUGCUAAUGCCCCAUAAGCCGACGUAAUGGCAUCUUUAUGUCGGAAAAGAUUUAUCGGUACAGGAGGGACCCGCGUCUGAUUAGCUGGUUGGUGAGGUAACGGCCCACCAAGGCGACGAUCAGUAGCCGACCUGAGAGGGUGAUCGGCCACAUUGGAACUGAGACACGGUCCAAACUCCUACGGGAGGCAGCAGUGGGGAAUAUUGCACAAUGGGGGAAACCCUGAUGCAGCAACGCCGCGUGAAGGAAGAAGUAUUUCGGUAUGUAAACUUCUAUCGACAGGGAAGAAACAAAUGACGGUACCUGAAUAAGAAGCACCGGCUAAAUACGUGCCAGCAGCCGCGGUAAUACGUAUGGUGCAAGCGUUAUCCGGAUUUACUGGGUGUAAAGGGUGAGCAGGCGGUUAUGCAAGUCAUACGUGAAAUGUCGGGGCUUAACCCCGGCCUGCGUAAGAAACUGUAUAACUUGAGUGCAGGAGAGGCAAGCGGAAUUCCCAGUGUAGCGGUGAAAUGCGUAGAUAUUGGGAAGAACACCGGGUGGCGAAGGCGGCUUGCUGGACUGUAACUGACGCUGAGUCACGAAAGCGUGGGGAGCGAACAGGAUUAGAUACCCUGGUAGUCCACGCCGUAAACGAUGAGUGCUAGGUGUUGGCGAGAGAUCGUCGGUGCCGCAGCAAACGCAAUAAGCACUCCACCUGGGGAGUACGGCCGCAAGGCUGAAAACUCAAAGGAAUUGACGGGGACCCGCACAAGCGGUGGAGCAUGUGGUUUAAUUCGAAGCAACGCGAAGAACCUUACCUAAACUUGACAUCUCUCUGACCAUCAAUGUAAUGUUGACUUCCUUCGGGACAAAGAUGACAGGUGGUGCAUGGUUGUCGUCAGCUCGUGUCGUGAGAUGUUGGGUUAAGUCCCGCAACGAGCGCAACCCUUACUUUCAGUAGCCAUCAUUAAGUUGGGCACUCUGGAAGGACUGCCGUGGAUAACACGGAGGAAGGUGGGGAUGACGUCAAAUCAUCAUGCCCCUUAUGUUUAGGGCUACACACGUGCUACAAUGGCUGUUACAAAGUGAAGCGAACUUGUGAAAGUGAGCAAACCACAAAAAAGCAGCCCCAGUUCGGAUUGUAGUCUGCAACUCGACUACAUGAAGUUGGAAUCGCUAGUAAUCGCGAAUCAGAAUGUCGCGGUGAAUACGUUCCCGGGUCUUGUACACACCGCCCGUCACACCAUGGGAGUUGGAAGCGCCCGAAGUCUGUGACCUAACCGCAAGGAAGGAGCAGCCGAAGGUGAAGCCAGUGACUGGGGUGAAGUCGUAACAAGGUAGCCGUAUGGGAAGGUGCGGCUGGAUCACCUCCUUUCU